rnacentral:rRNA from 1 species
UACGUAGGGUGCAAGCGUUGUCCGGAAUUAUUGGGCGUAAAGAGCUCGUAGGCGGUCUGUCGCGUCGGCUGUGAAAACCUGGGGCUCAACCCCGGGCUUGCAGCCGAUACGGGCAGACUAGAAUUCGGUAGGGGAGACUGGAAUUCCUGGUGUAGCGGUGAAAUGCGCAGAUAUCAGGAGGAACACCGGUGGCGAAGGCGGCCUGCUGGGCUAUGGCUGACACUGAGGCGCGACAGCGUGGGGAGCAAACAGG